rnacentral:misc_RNA from 1 species
GAUGAAGAACGUAGCGAAAUGCGAUAAGUAAUGUGAAUUGCAGAAUUCAGUGAAUCAUCGAAUCUUUGAACGCACAUUGCGCCCCCUGGUAUUCCGGGGGGCAUGCCUGUCCGAGCGUCAUUACUGCCCUCAAGCGCGGCUUGUGUGUUGGGCCCUCGCCCCCCCGGGGGCGUGCCCGAAAGGCAGUGGCGGCGCCGUGCCCGGUCCUCGAGCGUAUGGGGCUUUGUCACCCGCUCUGGAGGCCCGGCCGGCCGCCGCAGACCCGUCCAGACCUUUAACCGGUUGACCUCGGAUCAGGCAGGGAUACCCGCUGAACUUAAGCAUAUCAAUAAGCGGAGGA